rnacentral:rRNA from 1 species
CGCGUAGGCGGUAUUGUAAGUUGGGCGUGAAAGCUCUUGGCUUAACUAAGAGAGGUCGUUCAAUACUGCAGUACUUGAGGUUGAAAGAGGAGAGCGGAAUUCCCGGUGUAGUGGUGGAAUGCGUAGAUAUCGGGAGGAACACCAGUGGCGAAAGCGGCUCUCUGGUUCACACCUGACGCUGAGGUGCGAAAGCGUGGGGAGCGAACG